AUCAGCAGCAGUGCCCAUCAUAGAGUAUACUUUGCCACGACACAAGCUCUGAGGAGAGACAAGCCCCCACCACAAGAAACAGCAACUGUGUCCAGGAGUAUGUAAGAGGAGGGAUGAUGAACACAUCUGCACUUUGGAAAGAAUUACAGUGGUGAUGUGAAGACACAGUUGGAAAGCAGCAAAAGUAGGAGGGAAAGAAAUUGGCAUCUCGAAGUAACUUUAGAAGAACAGAAAUCAACUUGGCUGAAUUUCUUGGUUGAAAUCUAUUAUUUCUGAGAUCUUCUACCCUAGUUGCAGCUCCACUUGCUACUACUACUACCAAGACAGUCUUUGGUGCUUGCCAUGAAGUCUCCUACUCCACUAUCCAACUCCUUAAUUCCUCAAGCUUUGAGAAUUUUAGAGAUUUAUACUGGAAUUUAGGGACUUAGCCAUGAAGUUUUAGAUGUAUUUACGCAUAUAAAGAGAGAUAACUGAAAAUCCACCCAAGGUUUGUGCUCCUCCUGUAUAGUACAGAGUUGUUUCUGAAAAGUUGUUUCCCAAUCAGGGCCCAGCUCUGGUGUGAUCCUGUGACUGAGUUCUGGCCAAUGGAGUGGGAGCAGAAAACAAUUCAUGCUACUUUCAGCCAUAAGAACUUCCUUUAGAACCUUCAUUUCUCUUCUUCAAGCUGACCUUGGGAGCGAAGUGUUGAAGAUGGCAGAGCCUCUAUCAUUCUAGAUCUUUGAAGGACUCCAUGGAGCACACUCCUAUUUCCUUCAACCCCCUCUUCUAUCACAUUGUGAUGGGGUAUUACAGGAGUGGGAAAUAAGUCUCUCUUCUGGUAAGCUCUUGAAAUUUUAGAGUGUAUCUGGUAAAAUAGAAAUCAUUACCUUAACU